AUACGGAGGGUGCAAGCGUUACUCGGAAUCACUGGGCGUAAAGGACGCGUAGGCGGAUUGGAAAGUCAGAUGUGAAAUCCUACAGCUUAACUGUAGAACUGCAUUUGAAACUUCUAAUCUAGAGUAUGGGAGGGGGAGAUGGAAUUAGUGGUGUAGGGGUAAAAUCCGUAGAUAUCACUAGGAAUACCGAAAGCGAAGGCGAUCUCCUGGAACAUAACUGACGCUAAGGCGUGAAAGCGUGGGGAGCAAACGGGAUUAGAAACCCUUGUAGUCC
rnacentral:rRNA from 1 species